GGCCAGACUCCUACGGGAGGCAGCAGUGGGGAAUAUUGCACAAUGGGGGAAACCCUGAUGCAGCGACGCCGCGUGAGUGAAGAAGUAUUUCGGUAUGUAAAGCUCUAUCAGCAGGAAAGAAAAUGGCGGUACCUGACUAAGAAGCCCCGGCUAACUACGUGCCAGCAGCCGCGGUAAUACGUAGGGGGCAAGCGUUAUCCGGAUUUACUGGGUGUAAAGGGAGCGUAGACGGUGAAGCAAGUCUGAAGUGAAAGGCGGGGGCUCAACCCCCGGACUGCUUUGGAAACUGUUUGACUGGAGUGCAGGAGAGGUAAGUGGAAUUCCUAGUGUAGCGGUGAAAUGCGUAGAUAUUAGGAGGAACACCAGUGGCGAAGGCGGCUUACUGGACUGUAACUGACGUUGAGGCUCGAAAGCGUGGGGAGCAAACAGGAUUAGAUACCCUUGUAC
rnacentral:rRNA from 1 species